rnacentral:rRNA from 1 species
GGAUUAGAUACCCUGGUAGUCCACGCCGUAAACGAUGGUCACUAGCUGUGUGGAUUUCGGUCUGCGUGGCUAAGCGAAAGUGAUAAGUGACCCACCUGGGGAGUACGUUCGCAAGAAUGAAACUCAAAGGAAUUGACGGGGGCCCGCACAAGCGGUGGAGCAUGUGGUUUAAUUCGAUGAUACGCGAGGAACCUUACCAGGGCUUAAAUGUAAGUUGCAUGAUUUAGAGAUAGAUCUUUCUUCGGACUACUUACAAGGUGCUGCAUGGUUGUCGUCAGCUCGUGCCG